CCUCCACUCGCCGAUGUGGUCCUGCUCCGGCGCUCGUCCAGGAGGAGGACAACGACCGGUUCCUGCAUAUGAGCUGCCGGCGACGCGGCCCGCUCUCCUCUGCUCAACACUCCCUCCUCCCUUCACCUCACGUCAUCCCUUCUUUUGCAGCUAAAUGUUCCCUCUUUGCAGCUCGACGGAGCCGCAGCACCACCCUGGAACGCGAGCCACGCCCUCGCCGCCGCCAAGUUCCCCCACUCCUACCCAACUCCGACCCCUCCCCUCUGACGCGUCCACCGGUGAAACCUCGCAUCAUCCCUCGCCCCAACCCUCAUCGCGUCCUGUCGCACCAAGCUACCCCGGCCCUGGUUGUAUGCAGAGAAAAAUGCCAUCUUUCACCUCUACACGAUUGCAUCCAUCCCGAGUGAUGGCGCCGGUCUUUGCUUAUUCACAAGGAGUUCUUGACUUGCUCUAGGAUUGCUGCAGCUGCUUUGCUAGUUCCGAUUCCAAGCUUGCUUGCACACCUAUUUGAAAGUUCAGAAGUUGGAGCACCCAUGAGGUGUUGCUACUUGAGGCAGCACCCGUAACUAGUAAUUGAUCUUCUCAUUUCGUGAACAUGUCCAGUUCAGAAAUUUCAGAAUUCAAAUGCCAGCGCAGAUUUUGGAUCCCUACCGGUUUAUUUCCAAAACCAAGUCCAGAUUUUGUUUCUAGAUAGAUAGAAUUACACAUUGAAUCUCUACUACUUUGCCCUUCAAUAAUAUGCCACUAUCUGCAAAAAAGGUUACAGUCAGAUAAGGAGUUUGAUUCCAAAAUAGAAGUAGGAGCCGGAUCUGAUAACUUCGCCUUUCGAUUAUAUGCCAUUUUGUUGUUGUUUAUGUCCUUUAGGUUUCAAACAUCUCUGAAAUUCUCUUUGAUUCAAAUUAUAUGAAACACCGAAUGAUUGCUUUUUCUGCAUUCAACUUUUAUCUCCUCAUCUUCUCUGAAACGGGUAUAGCUUGAAAUUUUCAUCACAUUCGUAGACAUAAAUAAAUAUGUGAAAAUGCGCUUCACAUACUUGGAUAAUUUUUUUCCAUUUUUUUGGAACCAGCAAUGCUUUUAUAUGGAAACUCCAUAACCUUAAUUUUUAUAUAUGUCUUUUAAAUUCCAUGUAUCUCACUUUAUGCAUAUGCAGUGACGUAAGGGAAGAGCUAUUGGAGUUGUCUGAUGACAUGUAGACUAAGGCGGCGGUGGGUGCUAAUCUAAAUGUUGUAGUCCUCUGCCUCUACCAAAGGCGUCCACGUCAUGCAGGAGCUUGCUGCCAAGGCCAACCGCCAUGACCCUGACACCGCUGUUCAGGAGCUUGUCGGCAUCGACAACAUCAGAGUUGUAAAUUAUCUCACAGUUAAAUCUGAAGGCUGGUUGACCGAAGGCGUCCACGUCAUGCAGGAGCUUGCUGCCAUGGCCAACCGCCAUGACCCUGACACCGCUGUUCAGGAGCUUGUCGGCAUCGACAACAUCAGGUCAAGAUUCUUCCUUUGAAUGCUGGCCGAGGCGGUAGCGGUGGUGACGGUGAGGAUGGGCGGUGACGGGAUUCGAAACAAUGAUUUGCUCCACUUGGAUGCCGCUGGGGAUAAAAGCGGCUAUGACAACUCAUAGUAAGGGAAGAAAUGGAGCUGCACAGGAGAGGUAGCCAUUGCCGCUGGAUUGGGCCAGCCGACAGCCUGUGGGUUUAGGGGAGAAAUGGAGCUGCACAGGAGAGGUAGCCAUUGCAGCUGGAUCGGGCCAGCCGACAGCCUGUGGGUUUAGCUUUUGGUGCCAAGGCUAUGUGGGGUGGUGGAAACCAAGGGGACCUCCAGAAGAGGCAAAUGGUCACCUACAGUACCAGGUAGCCUCUCUUUUAUAGGGUGCCCAUCAACUCAAGAUCAACGCCUUCAGCUCAAUGUUUGCCACAAUGUCCUCAAGCAACAGCCGCUUGGAGUUGUUCUGGUCUCUUGGGAUCAAUUACACUCCAUUCCACAACUGGGCUCAGUGAAGAUGAAAACCUACUGUAUGGCUACCAAUAAUAAUAUGAUACUUAGCGUUAUAGGCUCACUAUACUUGUGGCAGUAAGGUGGCUUCUAUUGUUUCGUUUUUAUGCGUGUGUUCUUGGUCUUGGCAAUAUAAACCAUGGUAAUCUGCAAGUUGUACUUUUUUUGUGAUUUGUGGAUUCAUAUAGCUAUGAUUCGUUAUUCAGCUAGGCUCAUCCUUAGUUAGUUUAUUUAAACUUCUACGCAUUAUAAGAGCAAUAAGAAUGGCGAAGUAUAUUGCUGACUGGCAAAAUUAGUUGAUUGAAUUUGUGUUAUCUCUAAAAUACUAUAGACUGUGUCUUCUUAUAGUCUGAUUUGGCGGAUAGUUUUUCUCAUCUAAAUUAGAUAGUUGCAAAUCAGUCUUUCAAUCUUUUGAAAGCAUCCUGAAUUGUAAAUGUUUUCACUGAUGGCUAAGAUAGAGUUAUGUGUAGCAAAUCUGAAGUUAAUCUUAGCGAAUCUUGAUUGAGUAGCAAGUAUUCAAGACCACGAGGCUCUGCGAAUCAUCAUUUUCAAAAAAUAGUAAUUCCAUGGGCACGUUUUUAAAAUGGUUUUCUAAUAAAAUGUCUUUAUUUCCUAAAAAUAUCCAAAUAGCUAUAGGAAUAAUACCAUUAAUUGGAGAAUAUAAAUACGUAUAUUUUAUACAAGAGAUGUAAUGGUAAAAAAUAUGUUUACAUAUACCAUUUAUUUACUUUACUUGCCAAAGGAUUUUUGUUAAUUUUAUCAACUCCUAUAGUAGAUGCAUAACUGUUGCAAGAGGGCCACAUCAAUGCUCUGUUGGGGUUAUAUGGUGGUGUUAUCAGUUUUAAUAUGGAUUAAUGGCUCUAUAGUGUGUGGAUGUUGCUAAUUUUAUCAGCUAGUAGAUGCAUUAUUGUUGCAAGAGGGCCACAUAAAUGCUCUGCUGGGGUUAUAUGUUCCAGUAUGUAAGAGCUUGUCUGUAUGGUUAAAAAGAACAUGAAACAGAUUCACAAGUUCUAAUCCACCAACUAGCUGGGUAAUUUUAUUCUUAUGCAUGAUUUGAUAGUUAUCAGCUUCUCUCAUGCCAAGCUCUUAUUACUAUGUUCACAGUUUUCUCAGUGCACAUAUAGUUAUUCCUUUGGUUAGGCUAAACUUGCCAAAUUACGGCGGGAGUUGCUUACUCCUACAACCAAAGGUGGUGGAGGUGCUGGUGAGGGAUUCAACAUGACAAAAACUGGUGGUUUGGUUGCUUUCCUUCGGUUGAGGAAUCAUCGUUGUUGAACAAGUUGACAGGAACUUUUUCGGAGGACAUGUUUGUUCUUUGUCUUUAAUCGUCGCUACAUCGUAUUCAGAUUCUCGAUAUCUGAGAAUCACUGAAGGAGGUAAAGAUGGAAAGGGUAGAGGAAGGCAGAUAAUAUGCCCAACCAUUGCUCUAUUUUUAUGGUGCAGUUAACACAUGGUCGCAAACGUGCUAUGGCAUAUUAUACAUAGAUAGGUGUCUGCAAAGACGAGAAGCACCGGAAGAUGCACCGGACUAUGUUGAUGGUGUUGUCAAGUCCGUCAAUAUAUGCAUCCAGCUCGGCAGUGAAGUGCAGUUGCAAGCGUCUGGAGGCUGCGACCGGAGUGGGCAUGAGUUGACUGUAUGGUUGCAACUGGCUUACUAUUUUCUGCUUAUGGUUGUUUCAGUUAAAGGUUGAAUCGAUUCCCGCAUGAGUGAGCGAGAUACAAAGCAGAAAGCUACUAAUUACGAGUCUUUUCUUUAUUUCCUGCCUCAGUUGUAAAUCUAGGCAGACAUAUUUCUAAAUUCAUCUCUCCAUUUUUUAGUAGUAAUGGCCAGUCAUGCAUGCCUAGUGUGUAUGCUUUCCAUAAUGCUCUAUGUUUUGGGUAUGCAUGUUUUAUUCAACUAUAUAUGUGACCUGUUGCUGCAACUUGUGGAAGCAGGACAUCAUGAAUGAUCAUCUUCAUCUAUGUGAAAAGGUGUCUUCCAAAGCAGAGAAGCAAGAGACCAAUGGUGGUGGAGAUGCACCAGACGAUAUUGAUGCGGCUGUGAAGUCCGUCGAUGUACGUGGCCAGCUCGGCAGUGAAUUGCAAAUGGCUUCUUCUUAUGGUUGGUUCAGUUCAAGGUUGAAUCUAUUCCUGCAUUAGUGAGCCAGAUACAAGGCAGGAAGCUACUAAUCUUUCCAGUCCGUUCUUUUUCUCGUUUAGAGGUACCGAUGGAUUAGGUAGCUCCAUGUACUAGUACUAGAUGUAUUUGCUAGCACAAUGUAGUACCAGUAGAGAUUGGCUUCGAGUGUGUAAAUUGGAUGUGGGGUUUCUGUAAGUGGGACUCGUGCGGAGUUGUACUAACACAAUACUGCUAUAGCAAAUAGAUUAUGGAGCAAGAAGGCAUCCUUUAUAUAUAUCUGUCCAUUCAUUCA